rnacentral:rRNA from 1 species
UGGGGAAUAUUGGACAAUGGGCGCAAGCCUGAUCCAGCCAUGCCGCGUGAGUGAUGAAGGCCCUAGGGUUGUAAAGCUCUUUCACCGGUGAAGAUAAUGACGGUAACCGGAGAAGAAGCCCCGGCUAACUUCGUGCCAUCAGCCGCGGUAAUACGAAGGGGGCUAGCGUUGUUCGGAUUUACUGGGCGUAAAGCGCACGUAGGCGGACUAUUAAGUCAGGGGUGAAAUCCCGGGGCUCAACCCCGGAACUGCCUUUGAUACUGGUAGUCUUGAGUUCGAGAGAGGUGAGUGGAAUUCCGAGUGUAGAGGUGAAAUUCGUAGAUAUUCGGGGGAACACCAGUGGCGAAGGCGGCUCACUGGCUCGAUACUGACGCUGAGGUGCGAAAGCGUGGGGAGCAAACAGG